rnacentral:rRNA from 1 species
UACGUAGGGUGCAAGCGUUGUCCGGAAUCAUUGAGCGUAAAGCGCGCGUAGGUGGCUUCGUAAGUCCGUUGUGAAAGUCAAAGGCUCAACCUUUGAAUGCCGAUGGAUACUGCGAAGCUAGAGUACGGAAGAGGCGAGUGGAAUUCCUGGUGUAGCGGUGGAAUGCGCAGAUAUCAGGAGGAACACCAAUAGCGAAGGCAGCUCGCUGGGACGUUACUGACACUAAGGCGCGAAAGCGUGGGGAGCGAACAGG